rnacentral:sRNA from 1 species
UGCUAGCCUAGAUUGAAACGGCGUCCUUUUAUCUCGCUGUAAAAACGAGAUAAAAGAUACAGUGGAAAGCGGGACAUCGA